UGCAAUGCUAAGAACAACAAUAAACAAUUUAAUGCCCACUAUAUAUGUUAAAUUGAUGUCAGUACUAAAUUUUAUUGAUAUCUAAAAACCAACAUGAAAAAUCAAGUUAAACUGUACUGUUUAAUUUUAAGCAUACCUGCAAACCUUCUUGUUCUGCAAAGUUUGUAAUCUGUUAUUUUUAUCUUUACUAAGGGGAGACAAUGUAUUUUCAUAUUGUUAAAAACACAAAAGAGUUGUCCUUUCUUUAUUUUUACUAUAUCAAUGUCCAUUCUUUAUUUUUACUAUAUCAGUAAGAAUAAUAGUUGCAAUAUUGUGAAAAUCAGACACAGGAAAUACAUACCUUGCCUAAUCCGACACACUGGGGGACCAGAAAAAAAGGUUGGAUUAAACAGGGUGUCGGACUACUCAGGCUUUUUCUGCAAGGACAGGCCUAUUUUAGGACCAUGAAAAUGUGUCGAUAAAGCAGGAUGUUGGAAUACUCAGGUGUCGGAUAGGCAAGUAACACUGUACUAGAAAAACAACUCAAAUGAUAAUAAGAAUGAAAGUAGGAUGAUUUUUUACAACAAAUGGGACAAUUUCAUCUUUUUUUCAGUAAUAAAAAAAGUCAUCUAUGUGGGCAGAUAUGUCUAAGCAAUCACAAACACUAUUCAAAAUAGGAACAUUUUUAUGCUUAUUUGGCCAUGUAAAUUAACCUGAAUAUGAAGUAAAAUGGCACAAAUUCUGAUCACAUUUGAUAGACCUUUAAGCCUACUCCUAAUAUAGAAUAAAAUAAUGGUUAAUUAAAACAAUGUCAAGUAUCAGAAGCAGAUAAAUAUCUUUAAUUGGAGAUUCUUUAAGUCAUGGAACUUUAUGCUUAUAUUCUUGUUAUGCACUCAUCAACAUGUGUUAUAGCUAGUAGAGGAAGAAGAUUUUUUUUUUGCCAAAUAUUAUAAUUUUUUUUGAUGGAAAGAGGCUCACCACUUGUUUACAUCUGCUUUUGCCUCUGUAAAUCACAAAGAAAAAAGUCACAUACAAACAUAUGAGCCAGUCCAUGCGAAAAGGUACAAAAACAAAAAAUUGACGAAAUUCUAAAUAGUGUGCAUAAUUAUUGGUAGUAGACUUGUGAUUAAUAAAACACAUUUACUCUCCCUCAUAUCAUCAAGCUGUGAGCUACACGCACCUGCGAGUGUUGAGACCCCCCCCCUUUAGUUUUAUCAAGAUUUUUAGUGAAUUAUUUCAUAUAUUUCAAUCAUUUUCAAAGUACAGUUUAAAUGGCUUGAUUUUCCACUUGAUAAUGUUAACCCCGGUAGCAGUGGGGAUAAGGCUCUCGCUUACGAUGCGGAUAUCAAUGCAAUCAAACCGGGCAACGGUUCGAAUCCCAUGCAACUAAGGUUGAUUUAUAUAAUAUUAAAUAACUUAACUUAACUUAACUUUCAAUUUCUAAAACACAAGAUGUCAUAGUUUUUGUAUUUUCCCUCAUGUUUUAAUGUUGUCUUACUUUCUUUAAACCUGUAGAACUGACGGAAAUUAUUGACUUUUGUCUCUGUAGUGUCAUAAAUUUUUAUAGUUUCUGGUCGGUAUAGCAUUAGACCGGGGAACAAAUGAUUUUACACUUGCUCAAAUACCAAAAAUUCAGAUAUUUCUACGUCUUUUUCGGUUUUAGUUGACAAAUUCGGGAUAGAAUUGACAAUCUUAUGAAUGUUUACAUUAAUGUAAUUUUUUUUCCGUUUUUCAAAAAUACUAUAACAAACUUUGAUAACGUGUCCUGUAAAGUUUACCAAAAGGACUUUUUGUACCUUUUCGCAUGGACUGGCUCAUAUCAUUGUCAAAAUCACAAAAAAACAAAAAAAUCGAAAUUGCCAAAAAGCAAUGAAAUAUCGAAAUACUUAUAAUACUUCAUAUCCAACGUUAUAAUUUAAUGUAAAUAUUGACAUAUAAUUAUCCCUAGCAACAAAAAUUGUCCCCUUAGCAACCAUACACCAUUCAGCAAAAAGUCC
rnacentral:lncRNA from 1 species